rnacentral:rRNA from 1 species
CAACCCUUGAUUUUAGUUGCCAGCAUUUAGUUGGGCACUCUAAAGUGACUGCCGGUGCAAGCCGGAGGAAGGUGGGGAUGACGUCAAAUCAUCAUGCCCCUUAUGACCUGGGCUACACACGUGCUACAAUGGAUAGUACAAAGGGUCGCGAAGCCGCGAGGUGGAGCUAAUCCCAUAAAACUAUUCUCAGUUCGGAUUGUAGGCUGCAACUCGCCUACAUGAAGCCGGAAUCGCUAGUAAUCGUGGAUCAGCAUGCCACGGUGAAUACGUUCCCGGGCCUUGUACACACCGCCCGUCACACCACGAGAGUUUGUAACACCCGAAGUCGGUAGGGUAACCUUUAUGGAGCCAGCCGCCGAAGGUGGGACAGAUAAUUGGGGUGAAGUCGUAACAAGGUAGCCGUAUCGGAAGGUGCGGCUGGAUCACCUCCUUUCUAAGGAA